UGAAGCAGAAUUACCAGAUUCAAGUACCUCAAAAAGAGACCUUCAACUGUCUUUUUGAUCAAGUUAUUUUUUGCAAUCAUUGAUGCAUGCAAUGCCCCUGAUACGCUUGCUGCCUCUCAUAUGUGCUACAAUUGAUCGAAUUUCGCAAUCAUGAUGCAGAUGCCUCUCAUAUUGCACCACCCUCUUUACCGUGUUGCCUAUGUCGGCUAGGCCACACCACCACACCCACGGGUAUAUAUCUCACUAUGAGCGCAACCAUUCAACAAAUGGUUACGUUGGCCUUUUGCUAUGGGUAACCUAGUGGUUAGAGUGCUACAUUAUCACAUAACAAUAUGACCAACAUAAUUUGUAUUUCAAAUAGUACUAAGGUCAUUAAUUGGUAGUACGCCCGUUACAACAAUGAUUCAAAUAAAGAAAUUCAAAUAAAAUAAAAAUAUAAAAGAGGAAGGAAAUAAUAAAAAAGAAACAAAUAACACAAGGCCCGCUGAGGUAUAAUUCUCAAAUGCAAAAAAAAAAAAAAAAAAAAAAAAAAAAAAAACUGAAAUUAUAUAAAUAUACAUUAAAUCAACAGGAUCGCGAAAGUAAAUAAAGCAAUAAUAUAAUAAAUAUUGCGCACCGCCGAAAUGGACUUGAAAAUGUAAAUAAUAUAAAAAGAUUGGGGAGCCUGGACAGAGUGAGGUGAUACAAAAUCUAUUCAAUCUACUGCUUCCUCCGCCGGGUCCUAGUACGAAGAGGAAGGAUGAGGACGACUCCUAUAGUCGCAGAGCAUCGAGAAUCUUUUUCGCCAUUUCUCGAUAUUGCCACAUGCCCCCUGCCACCUUCUUGAACUGUAUGCCAUGCAGGGAGAAGAGGGGUACUUUGACAAUCAAUAUCUCGAACUUGAGAACGAGGUUGCCACCGGUAUCGCUUUGGACUCUCGUGGUCGUUUCGCCAACAACGCGCUCACCACCGCCAUUAUCGCGAGCGGACAUAUACUCGUCAGAACCAUCAGAGUUAGUGAUAAAACUUCGAUCGGGGGUUCCGUGUUGGCGCCGUUGGGUUCUCGAAGUAUGUGUGUUUCUAGGCUCCUCCCGGUUCUCAUCCUUGUCGUAGCCACGCAGUCCACCGAAGCUGAUUCGCCGGCGGUGACCACCUACUUUGCCUUCCCGAUCUGGGCUGUGCGGUCGUACAUCCAUGACACGGUUAAGGUCGAUGCUUGGGGCGUGACGACAGCUAAAUCCACCCUUAAUUUCCGUGAAUUCAACCCCAAGCUGUUUCAGAACUCUCAUUAUAUCUGCGCGGAUGAAAGGUAGAGGUUUACUACUAGUUGUAGAAACGCUGAACAGGCCUUUAAGGAAAACAGGCUUUGAGAAGUCUUCUCCCGUAUUCAUAUUCUCAAGUGCAGUUCCGGCACCACUCAGGUCAGCAUCGGUCUCCUCAGGUACAUUUGCUUCCCGAGUUUCUUCUCGGCGUGCUCGCCGAGCUUGGAUACUUUCCCGUCUGGCAUGGCCGAGUGAUUUUGCCCUCAGAGUCUGCACGCGUGUGCUAGGUCUCGAAUCCUGGCCUGACUGAUCGCUCUGCUGCGGGCGCGACUUUGAGACGCUCAAGCUAGAGCGAUCAGAUCCACUUGUCAAAGGUGGGUCUUGCAUGGUCUGAGAACCAGCACCAUCGACAAAGGCUCUUCUCCCAUUCCUGCGGACUCGAUUUUCACCAGAAUUGACACUAGCUGACCUUCCCAGAACAUUUUUCAUUCUCGGGGUGACUUCUCCGGACCGGGGAGCACGCAGAAGUUCUUGUUGUGGCUGACUUCCUCCAGAUUGAAGCGUUCCGGGUGAGGCAUUUUCGUGCCUCGCCCUUCUUACAUUGAAACUCUUUCGAGGAGCAGUAAGGUCCUCUGGAGGCUGGACAUUCAAGGUGGGCCCCUGGGCGGUCGCACCCUUUUCACGUUCGGCAUCUCGUGGCUU
rnacentral:sRNA from 1 species